rnacentral:lncRNA from 1 species
GAGGUAUAAGAAUAUAACCAACACCUGCAUUGCAUGGGGAUAUAAUAGAAAAGACGAUUAGCGGUUGGAGUUCAAGCAUGUAAGUCAAGAAUAAGGAUAAAAUAAUGCCAACAGUUCAUAUCUAAUCAACCAAUGUAUAUAACCAAUGUAAUAUAUACAUAGACAGAUAUACCAUGCUGGGGUAGGGAAAAAGAAUAGAAUGAACUUUGAAAUCAUUAACCUAGGAUGCAUAGCAUAGUUGUCAUAGAACAAGUCACACACAGUCAAUAUGGGCCCAGCUCCC